rnacentral:sRNA from 1 species
CUAAUUCAUAUUUGUUUCAUAAUUGUUUUAUUUAAAACGUCUUUAAGUAUGUAAGCAAUUAUCCGUGUCCAUGUAGGAAAUCAUUGGCGAGUUUGUUCUGCAAGCCUUAAUGUUAGUUUUUUUGCUGUCAGCUUUAACUGUGUCUGUUUUGGUGGUCAUCUUCCCCAAGUCUGUUUUUAUUUUCUUUCUAGACACACGAUAGUAAGGAGCAUUUAGCAAUGAUGGAAAGGAUUCUUGGACCUCUACCAAAACAUAUGAUUCAGAAAACCAGGAAACGUAAAUAUUUUCACCACGAUCGAUUAGACUGGGAUGAACACAGUUCUGCCGGCAGAUAUGUUUCAAGACGCUGUAAACCUCUGAAGGAAUUUAUGCUUUCUCAAGAUGUUGAACAUGAGCAUCUCUUUGACCUCAUUCAGAAAAUGUUGGAGUAUGAUCCAGCCAAAAGAAUUACUCUCAAAGAAGCCUUAAAGCAUCCUUUCU